GACGAACGCUGGCGGCGUGCUUAACACAUGCAAGUCGAACGGUAAGGCCCUUCGGGGUACACGAGUGGCGAACGGGUGAGUAACACGUGGGUGAUCUGCCCUGCACUUCGGGAUAAGCCUGGGAAACUGGGUCUAAUACCGGAUAGGACCACUGCCUGCAUGGGUGGUGGUGGAAAGCUUUUGCGGUGUGGGAUGGGCCCGCGGCCUAUCAGCUUGUUGGUGGGGUGAUGGCCUACCAAGGCGACGACGGGUAGCCGGCCUGAGAGGGUGACCGGCCACACUGGGACUGAGAUACGGCCCAGACUCCGACGGGAGGCAGCAGCGGGGAAUAUUGCACAAUGGGCGCAAGCCUGAUGCAGCGACGCCGCGUGAGGGAUGACGGCCUUCGGGUUGUAAACCUCUUUCAGCACCGACGAAGCGCAAGUGACGGUAGGUGCAGAAGAAGGACCGGCCAACUACGUGCCAGCCGCCGCCGCUG
rnacentral:rRNA from 1 species